GUGACAGAGUGAGGGAGGGGGUGACUAGUGACAGGGAGGGGAGGGGGGACUAGUGACAGAGGGAGGGAUGGGGUGACUAGUGACAGUCACCACCUCCUUCACUGUGUCACCCCCUUCCUCACUCUGUCACUAGUCACCCCCUCUCUCACUUGUCACCCCCUCUCUCUGUCACCAGUCAUCCCUUCCUUCCCUCACUCUGCCACUAGUCAUCCCUUCCCUCACUCUGUCAC